rnacentral:rRNA from 1 species
AGUGAACGCUGGCGGCGUGCCUAAUACAUGCAAGUCGAACGGAGUGGCGCACGGGGGAGUAAUAUAUAGCUAAUCUGCCCCUUGCUGGAGGACAACAGUUAGAAAUGACUGCUAAUACUCCAUAGCAAGGGAUGAGACUAUAUCGUAUCAGCUAGUCGGUGGGGUAACGGCCUACCGAGGCUAUGACGCGUAACUGGUCUGAGAGGAGGAUCAGUAACAUUGGAACUGAGACACGGUCCAAACUCCUACGGGUGGCAGCAGUAGGGAAUAUUGCGCAAUGGGGGAAACCCUGACGCAGCAACGCCGCGUGGAGGAUGACACUUUUCGGAGCGUAAACGCCUUUUGUUAGGGAAGCGGUACCUGAAUAGAAAGCCACGGCUAACUACGGGCCAGCAGCCGCGGUAAUUC